rnacentral:lncRNA from 1 species
GAAAAUAAUUUCCAAAAUAGGUCUGAUAACUUCGUUGGUUUUCAUACUUCUAACAAUUGUUGUCUACUGUGUCUUUUGGAGAUACGUGAAAUCUGUCCAAUCGAUCAUCAUAAUGAACUUGUCCUGCAUGUUGUUUUUGGCGAAUCUGCUAUUUUUAACAGGGAUUGACAAGACAGGUAACAAGAUUGUUUGUACCACAAUCGCAGCUCUUCUUCAUUUCCUGUACCUCUCAGUGUUUGCCGUCAUGCUUGCACAAGGUCUUGAAUUGGCGUACAUGGUCCUGAAACCUAUCCAUACACACACCCCUGGAUUGCGCCUU